UACGAAGGGGGCUAGCGUUGCUUGGAAUCACUGGGCGUAAAGGGUGCGUAGGCGGGUCUUUAAGUCAGGGGUGAAAUCCUGGAGCUCAACUCCAGAACUGCCUUUGAUACUGAAGAUCUUGAGUUCGGGAGAGGUGAGUGGAACUGCGAGUGUAGAGGUGAAAUUCGUAGAUAUUCGCAAGAACACCAGUGGCGAAGGCGGCUUACUGGUCCGGUUCUGACGCUGAGGCGCGAAAGCGUGGGGAGCAAACAGG
rnacentral:rRNA from 1 species